UUGCUUCCCUGUUGAAGUGAAGAUAUAAAUGUUCCAUUCUGACCCACCUUUGAAAAACAAUUACUUUGCCCCAUGGAUUCUUUGUUCAAUUAGAAAUUUCCCCGGGGCAGGUGACCCAUAGUCUUAAAGAACAGGCUAAACACCACAGAGAGAUUGGUUGCUUUUUGCUUUUCAUCACCUGCAAGAUGUACAUAAAAAUCACAUAAGCUGGAAUUCAACAAAAGGUAUGUUUAUGAACUUUUAUUCUCAAAAGUUGAAAUGCUGACUUUCUCGAUUCCUCAUUUUCAGACUUUUAUUUCAGAUAAAUACUAAAAACCUAAGUGAACCUUGAUAAUGCUGUAGUGUAGAUUACUUCACUACCCCAUAUAAUAGAAGGACUUGCUGUUUAGUUGUAGAGGAUAACAGCGUUUUUCAGUGGAAAUUGAAAGUGGAAAAAUUGAAUUUUGCUCUACACAGUUAACAUAUAGUGGCCUUUUUUUGGUAUAUAUGUAAACAUGUUGACACUGGAAAUACGCAGUCUGAAAUAAAAUUAGUAAUUACUUGAAAUUAGUAAUCUCAAAUAACUUUUAAGAAGUUAUUUCUACACCCAGGAAUAAAUUAUUCUGAUUUUGUAGACAACACAGGAAUAGGCCACUGAAUAUGCAGGUAUUUAGAGUACAAAUGUCUGUGGAUAUUAUUGGCACACCAUUCUCGAGAGUUAGAAUUCGUAGACCCGCAACACAUGGACUACCCUUGCCAAUUGUUAUGGUUUUAUUUUUAAACCUAUUCUGUGAAAAAGCUCCUCGGUAUUUCAAACUUGAAUUACAAUAAAAACACCAGGUAGGGUUGUUUUUAAAUGGGUCUCACCCCAGUGCUGACUACUGUUGUUUACCAACUACAUUUCAUCUGGUAACUCCAUUGAAACUAAGUACCUCAACCAUUUUUUUUUUUUAUCAUAAAGCCUUUUUUCAAAUGGAAAGUUGUUUUUGAAGAUCUUGACAUCAGACUUUUUCAAUCUUUGAAAAUGAUGGAAACAGUUAAUAAAAAUGUUUAUUUUAGAAUUCAGGUGAUGUCUGGCUUGUGAGGAGCUGUUUAUAAGUUUGUCUUUGAAAAAGGCUUGCACACAUCACUCUGAGACCAGCUGUUUCCUGUGACUUUAACCUUACCUUCCCCAGACAAUUGAGCUGAACCUGUAUCUGCGACCUCUGACUAUGUGAAGAUACGGUGGGAAGAUGACUGACCGCAAGACAGGAAGAGAGCCCUCACCGAGGAACCAAAUUGGCCAGUAUCUUGAUUUUGGAUUUCUCAACCUCAAGAACCAUGAGAAAUGAAUGUCUGCUGUUCAAGCCACCCAGUCAAUGUCCAUGAGAGCAAGCAUCUUUGUCCGUUUGGCUCACUGUUGGAUUCCCUGUUUUAAAAAUAUCACCCGGCCCAGCAAAAAGUUUGGAAACCUUCAUCUAGAAAGUGGUCUAGCAAAGUGUGGUCCAUGGAUGAGUUUGAUCUGCAAACUGCUUGUUAUUGGUUCAUGACAAGAAUUGGUUCCAAACAGUAAAGCCGCCAGAAAAAACAGACAAACUCUUAGGAACAACAAUGCCCAUUAUGUGUGGAGUAGAAGCUGCCAGACUUUGAUUACUGGCCAGAGAUUAACCCCUUUGGUGUCUUAGGGGGGAAAAUGCCAAGUCUGAAUCCAGACAUUUCCAGGAUUUUACAGUCAUUCAUGGUAUGAGACCAGGCGAUUUAUAAUGACUUGUGCAAAAAAAAAAAGACUAUUGGGAGAAGGAAGUGCAAGUCAAAGGCCACGGCUCCUUGCUUCCUGAAUUCUGCCAUGACUAAUUCCAGCAAGCGGACAUAGACCUGAUCACCUCUGCUUUUCCCUUUGCUAGCCUGCCUGGUCAUGGAUGAGAAGCACGCUGCUCUUGCUACCUUCAUGUGGUGGUUUGGGUCCU
rnacentral:lncRNA from 1 species